GAUGAACGCUGGCGGCGUGCUUAACACAUGCAAGUCGAACGAAGCACUUUAUUUGAUUUCCUUCGGGACUGAUUAUUUUGUGACUGAGUGGCGGACGGGUGAGUAACGCGUGGGUAACCUGCCUUGUACAGGGGGAUAACAGUUGGAAACGGCUGCUAAUACCGCAUAAGCGCACGGCAUCGCAUGAUGCAGUGUGAAAAACUCCGGUGGUAUAAGAUGGACCCGCGUUGGAUUAGCUAGUUGGUGAGGUAACGGCCCACCAAGGCGACGAUCCAUAGCCGACCUGAGAGGGUGACCGGCCACAUUGGGACUGAGACACGGCCCAAACUCCUACGGGAGGCAGCAGUGGGGAAUAUUGCACAAUGGGCUAAAGCCUGAUGCAGCGACGCCGCGUGAGCGAAGAAGUAUUUCGAUAUGUAAAGCUCUAUCAGCAGGGAAGAUAAUGACGGUACCUGACUAAGAAGCACCGGCUAACUACGUG
rnacentral:rRNA from 1 species